CAAUCGCGCCCACACCAUCAAAGUAAAAGCCCAGGCCCAGGAAGUAGAAUGGGGGCUGUCAAGAGCUGGGGAAGGGGGAGCUAGUGUUUAAUAGGUGUAGCGUUUCAGCUGGGGGAUGAGAAAGUUCUGGAGAUGGAUGGUGGAGAUGGUUGUGCAACAAUGGGAAUGCUAUAAACGUGGGUGGGGAAGACUUCAGAGGAGGAAGUUUUAUGGGGGAGAGCAGGAGCUCAGUUUGGGGCAUGUCAAGAAUGAGAUGCCUUAUUAAACAUUCGAGCCAAGACACUGAACAGAGCUGAGUCUGGAGUUCACAGAGAGCCAAGCUGGGGACAUGGAUUUGCAAUCAAUCAGUGCACAGAUGGCAUCAGUUCCACGGGACUGAGAGUUCACCAGCGUAGCGAGAACAGCCAAAACCAAACCAAACCAAAACGUUCUCCACAGGUCCCAGGAGUGAGCCAGAGACUUUAAGCUGAAAGGUCAGCCAUCCAAGGAGGGAUCAGGAAGGGGAAGAGGAGGAACAGCAACGAGGGAGGGAGGACCGCCGGAAGGGAGGAGGGAGAGACAUGAAGGCUGCACAUACACAGAAAAAAAAAAAAACCCAACAACAUGUGGGGACACGGAGAAGGCAUAGCCUGAGGAGAAACCAGCCAUGCCAACACCUUGAUCUCAGACUUCUAACCUCCAAAACUGUGAGAAAACGAACGCCUAUUGUUAAGUUGCCCAGCCUGUGGUAUUUUGUUACGGAAGCCUGAGCAAACUAACACAGCCUGGCAUUUUUGCUCUGAAGUUUACAGGAUUGAUUGGAAUUUAUGGGAAUAGAUUUAUAGUUGCACAACUCAAUGCUAUGCAGGGAUUUUCUCCAGCGUGAUUCCUUUGGUGAAACAGUGGCCCCCACUUCCUACUGUCUGCCCAAACCCAAGCCAGCGAAAGUGUCCAUUCACCCAUCCAUUCAGUCAUUUACUCAUUCAUUCAACAAAUAUUUAUUGAAGACUUACUGUAAAGGUCUUAUAAAAGGUGAUGGAACCUUGUCCAUAUCAGGGUUAGACAUGGCUAAGUUCUGGGGAAUUAGAACAUAUUAUUAAUCUCCAUAACAAAUACAGCUUUUGAUGACACACAGAAACGAAUGAAAUCGGACACAAAGUCCCAAUCAGUUUUUGGAAAUAAUCCACAAAAUAAAUGGAAGUUUCAGUUCCAUAAACAACUAAAUUGGAUCCAGAUAUCAGAUAAUUCCACAUUAUAUUGAAAAAGAAGAAAUCGGGCCAGGCAUCAGCAUGUUGGGAGGCUGAGGUGGGCAGAUCACUUGAGGUCAGGAGUUCAAGACCAGCCUGGCCAACAUGGUGAAACCUUGUCUCUACUAAAAAUACAAAAAUCAGCCAGGUGUGCUGGCACAUGCCUGUAAUCCCAGCUACUCAGGAGGCUGAGGCAUGAGAAUUGCUUGAACCUGGAUGGCAGAGGUUGCAGUGGGCCGAUUGUGCCACUGCACAUGGUUUGGCUGUGUCUCCACCCAAAUCUCAUCUUGAAUUGUAACUGCAAGAAUUCCCAUGUGUCGUGGGAGGAACCUGGUGGGCAGUGAUUGAAUAAUGGGGGCAGGUCUGUCCUGCACUGUUCUUGAGAUGGUGAAUGAGUCUCAUGAAGUCUGGUGGCUUUAGAAAUGGGAGUUUCCCUGCACAAAUUCUCUCUUCGCUUGUUUGCCCCCAUGUGAGAUGUGACUUUCACAUUCCACCAUGAUUGUGAGGCCUCUCCAGCCAUGUGGAACUUUAAGUCCAAUAAACCUCUUUCUUUUGUAAAUUGCCCAGUCUCUGAUAUGUCUUUAUCAGCAGCAUAAAAAUGGACUAAUACCAUCUUGUAUACUGUUUGGUUAAUAAAUGCCCUUCUGGGAGACAGGCCUCACAACAUCCACAAAAGCUGGGCUGCUUUCUGGGGCAGAAAGAGCUUAAUGAAGAUUAAUAUCUUUGUGUUGAGUGAACUCUGAGAUGGCUCCCUGUGGUCCCUGACUCCUGGUGUUCUCACCCUUGUGUAAUGUCCCCAAUUGUGUGCAGGCAGGACCUUCGAUUUGGUUUUAACAAACAGAGAAGAGCAAAGAUGAUAGGAUGUCACCUCUGUAAAUAUAAGAUGACGACUUGUGUCUUGG
rnacentral:lncRNA from 1 species